AGCGAACGCUGGCGGCAGGCUUAACGCAUGCAAGUCGAGCGGGCCCUUCGGGGUCAGCGGCGGACGGGUGAGUAACGCGUGGGAACGUGCCUUCUGGUCUGGAAUAACCCUGGGAAACUAGGGCUAAUACCGGAUACGCCCUUUUGGGGAAAGGUUUACUGCCGGAAGAUCGGCCCGCGUCUGAUUAGCUAGUUGGUGGGGUAACGGCCUACCAAGGCGACGAUCAGUAGCUGGUCUGAGAGGAUGAUCAGCCACACUGGGACUGAGACACGGCCCAGACUCCUACGGGAGGCAGCAGUGGGGAAUAUUGGACAAUGGGCGCAAGCCUGAUCCAGCCAUGCCGCGUGAGUGAUGAAGGCCUUAGGGUUGUAAAGCUCUUUUAUCCGGGACGAUAAUGACGGUACCGGAGGAAUAAGCCCCGGCUAACUUCGUG
rnacentral:rRNA from 1 species